GCGACCCCAGGUCAGGC
rnacentral:rRNA from 99 species